ACGGCUCAGUAACACGUAGUUAAUCUGCCAUAUGGUAGAGGAUAACCUUGGAAACCUGAGGGUAAUACUCUAUAGGGAAUACAUUUUGGAAUAAAGUAUUCUUCAAACUUACGGCCAUAUGAUGAGACUGCGGCGGAUUAGGUAGUUGGUAGGGUAAUGGCCUACCAAGCCUUCGAUCCGUACGGGCCUUGAAAGAGGUUACCCGGAGAGGGACACUGAGAUACUGGUCCCAGCCCUACGGGGUGCAGCAGGCGCGAAACCUUUACAAUGCACGAAAGUGUGAUAGGGGAACUCAAAGUGCUUAUACACUGUAUAGGCUUUUGCCAAGUCAAAACUGCUUGGCGAAUAAGUGGUGGGAAAGACUGGUGCCAGCCGCCGCGGUAACACCAGCGCCACAAGUGGGGACCGCUAUUAUUGGGUCUAAAGCGUCCGUAGCAUGUUAAGUAAAUUACUUGUGAAAUUGGACAGCUCAACUGUUCAGAUUGCAGGUAAGACUGCUAAACUAGAGACCGGGAGACGUUGAAGGUAUUCAGGGGGGAGCGGUAAAAUGCGAGAAUCCUCUGAGGACCACCUGUUGCGAAGGCGUUCAACAAUAACGGGUCUGACUGUGAGGGACGAAAGCUAGGGGAGCGAACCGGAUUAGAUACCCGAGUAGUCCUAGCCAUAAACGCUGCGAGUUAGGUGUUGCAUAAUCUCCGGGAUUAUGCAGUAUUGUAGGGAAGCCGUUAAACUCGCCACCUGGGAAGUACGGCCGCAAGACUGAAACUUAAAGGAAUUGGCGGGGGAGCAC
rnacentral:rRNA from 1 species